AUUGAACGCUGGCGGCAGGCCUAACACAUGCAAGUCGAGCGGAUGAAGAGAGCUUGCUCUCUGAUUCAGCGGCGGACGGGUGAGUAAUGCCUAGGAAUCUGCCUGGUAGUGGGGGACAACGUUUCGAAAGGAACGCUAAUACCGCAUACGUCCUACGGGAGAAAGCAGGGGACCUUCGGGCCUUGCGCUAUCAGAUGAGCCUAGGUCGGAUUAGCUAGUUGGUGAGGUAAUGGCUCACCAAGGCGACGAUCCGUAACUGGUCUGAGAGGAUGAUCAGUCACACUGGAACUGAGACACGGUCCAGACUCCUACGGGAGGCAGCAGUGGGGAAUAUUGGACAAUGGGCGAAAGCCUGAUCCAGCCAUGCCGCGUGUGUGAAGAAGGUCUUCGGAUUGUAAAGCACUUUAAGUUGGGAGGAAGGGCAGUAAGUUAAUACCUUGCUGUUUUGACGUUACCGACAGAAUAAGCACCGGCUAACUCUGUGCCAGCAGCCGCCGUAAAAC
rnacentral:rRNA from 1 species